rnacentral:tRNA from 1 species
GUUCUCGUACCUCAGUAGGAUAGAGGGUCCGCCUCCUAAGCGGAAUGCCCCCGGUUCGAUUCCGGGCGAGAACGCCA